rnacentral:rRNA from 1 species
AUAGGUAGGAGCCGGUACAGAGGUACCCGCGCUAGCGGGCCACCCAGGCAUCAGUGAAAUACUACCCGUCAGUGACUGUGACCCUCACUCCGGGAGGAGAACACCGGUAGCCGGGCAGUUUGACUGGGGCGGUACGCGCUCGAAAAGAUAUCGAGCGCGCCCUAAGUUCGUCUCAUCCGUGUCGGAGACACGGAGAAGAGUGCAAGAGCAUAAGACGAGCUGACAGUGUCCUCCACAACGAGGGACGCUGACGCGAAAGCGUGGUCUAGCGAACCUAUGAGCCUGCUUGAUGCGGGCCAUAGAUGACAGAAAAGCUACCUUAGGGAUAACAGAGUCGUCACUCGCAAGAGCACAUAUCGACCGAGUGGCUUGCUACCUCGAUGUCGGUUCCCUCCAUCCUGCCCGUGCAGAAGCGGGCAAGGGUGAGGUUGUUCGCCUAUUAAAGGAGGUCGUGAGCUGGGUUUAGACCGUCGUGAGACAGGUCGGCUGCUAUCUAUUGGGGGUGUAUUGGUGUCUGACGAGAACGUUCGUAUAGUACGAGAGGAACUACGAACGGUCACCACUGGUGUACCGGUCGUUCGAGAGAGCGCGUGCCGGGCAGCUACGUGACACGGGGUAAGAGCUGAACGCAUCUAAGCUCGAAACCCACUUGGAAAAGAGACACCGCCGAGGUCACUCGUAGAAGACGAGGUGGAUAGACUCGGGAUGUACGCGCCGAGGCAACGAGGCGUUGAGUCCGCGAGCACUAACGACCGAAGCCACACAUUC